rnacentral:other from 1 species
AUCUGCCUGAGGUGUUCGUUGUUAGUUACGUCCCUGAGCCGAUAUUUAAAACUCUUUGAGUUGAAUGACUAAUUGUUGGUGAGCAGGCUCGCUUGCGAGAAGCCUAAAAACGAUUGAUUUCGACUCCCUUGAACCGUAUGGUUCAAGGACUACAACUAAUAACGGCACUUUGGGUCUUUU